CCUACGGGAGGCAGCAGUGAGGAAUAUUGGUCAAUGGGCUUACGCCUGAACCAGCCAAGUCGCGUGAAGGAAGACUGCCCUAUGGGUUGUAAACCUCUUUUGUCAGGGGGCAACACCGGCUACGUGUAGCCGGACUUAGAGUACCUGAAGAAAAAGCCUCGGCUAACUCCGUGCCAGCAUCCGCGGUAAUACGGAGGAUGCGAGCGUGAUCCGGAUUUAUUGGGUUUAAGGGUUGCGUAGGCGGAAUGCCAAGUCAGCGGUAAAAUCGCGGGGCUCAACCUCGCUCCGCCGUUGAAACUGGCGUUCUUGAGUGGGCGAGAAGUAUGCGGAAUGCGUGGUGUAGCGGUGAAAUGCAUAGAUAUCACGCAGAACUCCGAUUGCGAAGGCAGCAUACCGGCGCCAAACUGACGCUGAAGCACGAAAGCGUGGGUAUCGAACAGGAUUAGAUACCCGAGUAGUC
rnacentral:rRNA from 1 species